GAUUGUGGAGUUCUUUGCCAAUUGGUC
rnacentral:piRNA from 1 species